CGCCAACAAUGCAGAGAGAAAGAAAAUAGAGAAAUAAUAGAAAAAGUAAUAAUAAAUACACAAUGAGAAACGAUAACUUGGCUUUAUACACAAGUAGCCUAUUGGUUAGAGUGUAGAGGUGGUAGGUAGCCUAGUGGUUAGAGUGUAGAGGUGGCAGGCAGCCUAGUUGUUAGAGUGUGGAGGCGGCAGGUAGCCUAGUGGUUAGAGUGUGGAGGCGGCAGGUAGCCUAAUGGUUAGAGUGUAGAGGUGGCAGGUAGCCUAAUGGUUAGAGUGUAGAGGCGGCAGGUAGCCUAAUGGUUAGAGUGUAGAGGCGGUAGGUAUUCUAGUGGUUAGAGUGUAGAGGUGGCAGGUAGCCUAAUGGUUAGAGUGUAGAGGCGGCAGGUAGCCUAAUGGUUAGAGUGUAGAGGCGGCAGGUAGCCUAGUGGUUAGAGUGUAGAGGAGGCAGGCAGCCUAGUGGUUAGAGUGUAGAGGAGGCAGGCAGCCUAGUGGUUAGAGUGUAGAGGUGGCAGGUAGCCUAGUGGUUAGAGUGUAGAGGUGGCAGGUAGCCUAGUGGUUAGAGUGUAGAGGAGGCAGGUAGUCUAGUGGUUAGAGUGUAGAGGAGGCAGGUAGCCUAGUGGUUAGAGUGUAGAGGCGGCAGGUAGCCUAGUGGUUAGAGUGUAGAGGAGGUAGGUAGCCUAGUGGUUAGAGUGUAGAGGUUAGAGUGUUGGGCCAGUAACCAGAAAGUCUAGUCUGAAUAUCCG